GAGUUUGAUCGUGGCUCAGAUUGAACGCUGGCGGCAUGCCUUACACAUGCAAGUCGAACGGCAGCACGGGAGCUUGCUCCUGGUGGCGAGUGGCGAACGGGUGAGUAAUGCAUCGGAACGUAUCCUGGAGUGGGGGAUAACGUAGCGAAAGUUACGCUAAUACCGCAUAUUCUGUGAGCAGGAAAGCGGGGGACCUUCGGGCCUCGCGCUCUUGGAGCGGCCGAUGUCGGAUUAGCUAGUUGGUGGGGUAAUGGCUCACCAAGGCGACGAUCCGUAACUGGUCUGAGAGGAUGAUCAGUCACACUGGAACUGAGACACGGUCCAGACUCCUACGGGAGGCAGCAGUGGGGAUAUUGGACAAUGGGCGAAAGCCUGAUCCAGCCAUGCCGCGUGUGUGAAGAAGGUCUUCGGAUUGUAAAGCACUUUAAGUUGGGAGGAAGGGCAGUAAGUUAAUACCUUGCUGUUUUGACGUUACCGACAGAAUAAGCACCGGCUAACUCUGUGCCAG
rnacentral:rRNA from 1 species